AUUGAACGCUGGCGGCAGGCCUAACACAUGCAAGUCGAACGGAGUGGCGGACGGGUGAGUAAUGUCUGGGAAACUGCCUGAUGGAGGGGGCUAACGUCCGGAAACGGGCGCUAAUACCGCAUACUAUCAGAUGACCCUAGUUCGGAUUAGCUAGUUGGUGGGGUCAAGGCAUACCAAGGCGACGAUCCGUAACUGGUCUGAGAGGAUGAUCAGUCACACUGGAACUGAGACACGGCCCAGACUCCUACGGGAGGCAGCAGUGGGGAAUAUUGGACAAUGGGCGAAAGCCUGAUCCAGCCAUGCCGCGUGUAUGAAGAAGGUCUUCGGAUUGUAAAGUACUUUAAGUUGGGAGGCGUUACCAACAGAAUAAGCACCGGCUAACUUCGUGCCAGCAGCCGCGGUAAUAC
rnacentral:rRNA from 1 species